UACUAGACAGAGUGACUCACCUUCCCUUUUGUGCAGCGCUCCGGUACGGAGACGUGGUCCCCGGGCCCCGCUGCACUGCUGUUGGGCUCCCCGCCCGCCUCAGUGAGGCGCCGCUAGUCCUGGGCGAGGAAAUGACAUGGAAAACGGAAGAAAGACGCUCGAGUCCAGGCACGGACCCCCAAAUGAGGCGAGCAGGGCGCGUGGCUUUCAAAGUUUGGCGACACCGGCCCUUCACUUUCACCCCGAGGGUGGGGGGAUCUGUGCGUUGCAUGGCAGGUCGAAAGCCGCUGGGCUGUGCGGCUGAAGCACGCGCGUGCGUGGGAUCGGAGGGGCGGCAGAGGGCAUUGCCUCUGGCAGGCAUGUAGUGUGGCCCCAAGGGCCAUUGCUGAAAAUUGCUUUUAAAGGGGUGAAGAAAAUUUGCACAGUUAACACAUUCUGGUAGUGUAACGUUAGAACUCGAAGAUGAUGGUUUGAUAUUACAUGACUAGUUAUAUACUGUACACUCAAGUGGCAAAUUAUUAGGAACACUACUAAUACUGGAAAGGGGAUCAUUUUGCUCCCAAAACAGCCCUCUAUUCUUUGUGGCUUGAAUUUCACAAGAUGUUUGUAACAUUCUUUAAAGAAGCUUGUCCAUGUUGACAUGCAGUUUCUGCAGAUCUGUUCAAUCACAUUCCAAAGCUGUUCAAUUGGAUUCAGAUCCAGUGAUUGGGAAGGCCACUGAAGAACACUGAACUCAUUGUCAUGUUUAUGAAACUAGUUUGAGAUGGCUUUUGCUUCGUGACAUUUUGCAUUAUCAUAGCAGCUGAAAGAAGAUGAUGAUACUAGAAGUAGCUUUUAGAAGAUGGGUCAGUAGUGACCAAGAAGGGAUGCACAUAGUUUGCAACAAUACUCAAAUAGGCUGUGGUUUUCAAGAGAUGAUUGAUUGGUAUUAAUGGCCCUAAAGUAUGCCAAGAAACAUUCCCACACCAUUACACCAACACAACUAGCCUGGAUUGUUGACACAAGACAGGCUUGGGUGCAUGUAUGCAAAAUUCUGUCCGUACCAUUUGUUUGCCUUGGUAAAAGCUGAGAUUCAGCAGACCACACAUUUUCCAGUCUUCAGCUGUCCAGCUUUUGCUAGAGCCUCACCUUUCUGUUUUUGGCUGACGGUAGUGGAAUCUAAUGUGGUCUUCUGCUGUUGUAGCCCAUCCAGCUCACAAUUUCAUCUGUUGUACAUUCUGUGAUAUUUUUCUUCUCACCGUAGUUUUACAGAGUGGUAAUUCGAGUUGCUGUAGCAUUUCUGUCUGCUUGAACCAGUCUGUUCUCAUCCAACCUCUCUUAUCAGCAAGGCAGUUCUGUCCCAUAGAACUACCAUUCACUGGUGUCCUUGACUGCUUAGAAAGGCGCCUUGUGUAAAUAAAAUUUAUUAUUA